AUUGAACGCUGGCGGCAGGCCUAACACAUGCAAGUCGAGCGAGUGGCGGACGGGUGAGUAAUGUAUGGGGAUCUGCCUGAUAGAGGGGGAUAACUACUGGAAACGGUGGCUAAUACCGCAUACCAUCGGAUGAACCCAUAUGGGAUUAGCUAGUAGGUGGGGUAAAGGCUCACCUAGGCGACGAUCUCUAGCUGGUCUGAGAGGAUGAUCAGCCACACUGGAACUGAGACACGGCCCAGACUCCUACGGGAGGCAGCAGUGGGGAAUAUUGCACAAUGGGCGAAAGCCUGAUGCAGCCAUGCCGCGUGUAUGAAGAAGGCCUUAGGAUUGUAAAGUACUUUCAGCGGGGAGGCGUUACCCACAGAAGAAGCACCGGCUAACUCCGUGCCAGCAGCCGCGGUAAUAC
rnacentral:rRNA from 1 species